AUUCCUCCUCCCUCCACCACCGGCCUUCUAACACCUUCUUCAGUUGGUUCUCUCUUGAGUCUGCCACCUCCUGCUGAGCUGGGCCUCAGAGGUGGUGGCUCAGGAUAGGUGUCCUCUGCACUAAUCGGUCUACCUGCGUGUAGUCUGAGAGCCUGUGGUCUGAGAAGUCCCAGGUGUUGUGUACAGCAGCAGAAACAUCCUAGGCAAUGGCUGCCAUCCGGAAGAAACUGGUGAUCGUGGGAGAUGGAGCUUGUGGAAAAACAUGCUUGCUUAUUGUCUUCAGCAAGGACCAGUUUCCGGAGGUUUACGUGCCCACAGUGUUUGAGAACUACGUGGCUGAUAUCGAAGUGGAUGGAAAACAGGUGGAGUUGGCCCUGUGGGACACAGCUGGUCAAGAAGAUUAUGAUCGCCUGAGGCCACUCUCCUAUCCGGACACUGAUGUCCUCUUGAUAUGUUUCUCCAUUGGCAAUCCUGAUAGCUUUGGGAACAUCCCACAUAAAUGGAUUCCAGAAGUCAAGCAUUUCUGUCCCAACGUGCCUAUCAUCCUGGUCGGAAGCAAGAAGGAUCUUCGAAAUGACUUGCACACAAUACAAGAGUUAGCCAAGAGGAAACAAGAACCGGUGAAACUUGAACAAGGCCGAGAUUUGGCGAACAGCAUUGGUGCUUUCGAAUAUGUGGAGUGUUCAGCAAAGACCAAAGACGGAGUGAGGAAGGUCUUUGAAAAGGCCACAAGGGCUGCUCUGCAAACGAAUCGUGUGAAGAAAAAGACUGGUUGCUUUGUCUUCUGAAGUUUUUGCACAAACACAGCCCUGGUACAGUUAAUUUUCAAGUGCUAUUUACGAAAGUUAUUGUGUAGUUGCUAGCCCUUUUGUUUAUUUAUAUGUCCGAGAUUACAAAUCAGAAGUCAUCUUGCUACCAACGUUCAGAAAGCAACCGUGAUUACUAGUGGCAUCCAAUCUGUCUGACCUGCCAGGGUCCUGACGCUUCUGUAACAGCCCACUCUGCGCUCCACCUGAUACACCAGGCACUAAUUGAAGAAUUAAUUAUUUCUAGAAAGAGAAACGGUAACUUGGUCAUUUAGACUGUCACUACUUCCUGACCUGCCCAAUCUACCAUCUGUAAGCUGGGAAGAAGUUGUUGAGUCACCACUUGAGAGUUUACUCCGUAACAACUUUCACUGCCAUCUUUAUUCUCUUUGAAAUCUCUCUCCAUGCAGCUGUGGUAGAGUAACAGCUCUGAGGUUUCAUGUUAGUUACCUUAUAGUUACUGUGUUAUUAGUGCCACUGAAUGUAUGUGACCAGAACUAAGAAGAUCUACCCCAGACUACAUGUAGCAUUUUUGGUAUAUUUGGAUUCUCUGACACUGAUAUUUGUCAUUCCCGCAGCAAGUAUACUGGUUGAAAGAAAGAAUUUGAAAAUAAAGUCAUAUGGAAAAUUAA